rnacentral:rRNA from 1 species
ACAUCCAGAGAACUUAGCAGAGAUGCUUUGGUGCCUUCGGGAACUCUGAGACAGGUGCUGCAUGGCUGUCGUCAGCUCGUGUUGUGAAAUGUUGGGUUAAGUCCCGNAACGAGUGCAACCCUUAUCCUUUGUUGCCAGCGGUUCGGCCGGGAACUCAAAGGAGACUGCCGGUGAUAAACCGGAGGAAGGUGGGGAUGACGUCAAGUCAUCAUGGCCCUUACGGCCAGGGCUACACACGUGCUACAAUGGCGCAUACAAAGAGAAGCGACCUCGCGAGAGCAAGCGGACCUCAUAAAGUGCGUCGUAGUCCGGAUUGGAGUCUGCAACUCGACUCCAUGAAGUCGGAAUCGCUAGUAAUCGUAGAUCAGAAUGCUACGGUGAAUACGUUCCCGGGCCUUGUACACACCGCCCGUCACACCAUGGGAGUGGGUUGCAAAAGAAGUAGGUAGCUUAACCUUCGGGAGGGCGCUUACCACUUUGUGAUUCAUGACUGGGGUGAAGUCGUAACAAGGUAGGCGUAGCGAG